CCUACGGGUGGCAGCAGUGGGGGAUAUUGCACAAUGGGGGGAACCCUGAUGCAGCGACGCCGCGUGGGUGAAGGAGUGCUUCGGCCUGUAAAGCCCUAUCGGCAGGGAAGAAGCAAGACGGUCCCUGACUAAGAAGCCCCGGCUAACUACGUGCCAGCAGCCGCGGUAAUACGUAGGGGGCGAGCGUUAUCCGGAAUGACUGGGCGUAAAGGGUGCGUAGGUGGUUUGGCAAGUUAGUAGCGUAACUCCAAGGCUCAACCUUGGAACUACUACUAAAACUGUUGGACUUGAGUGCAGGAGGGGCAACCGGAAUUCCUAGUGUAGCGGUGGAAUGCGUAGAUAUUAGGAGGAACACCAGUGGCGAAGGCGGGUUGCUAGACUGUAACUGACACUGAGGCACGAAAGCGUGGGGAGCAAACAGGAUUAGAUACCCUAGUAGUC
rnacentral:rRNA from 1 species